rnacentral:rRNA from 1 species
UAAAGCGCGCGCAGGCGGUCCUUUAAGUCUGAUGUGAAAGCCCACGGCUCAACCGUGGAGGGUCAUUGGAAACUGGGGGACUUGAGUGCAGAAGAGGAGAGCGGAAUUCCACGUGUAGCGGUGAAAUGCGUAGAGAUGUGGAGGAACACCAGUGGCGAAGGCGGCUCUCUGGUCUGUAACUGACGCUGAGGCGCGAAAGCGUGGGGAGCGAACAGGAUUAGAUACCCUGGUAGUCCACGCCGUAAACGAUGAGUGCUAAGUGUUAGAGGGUUUCCGCCCUUUAGUGCUGCAGCAAACGCAUUAAGCACUCCGCCUGGGGAGUACGGUCGCAAGACUGAAACUCAAAGGAAUUGACGGGGGCCCGCACAAGCGGUGGAGCAUGUGGUUUAAUUCGAAGCAACGCGAAGAACCUUACCAGGUCUUGACAUCCUUAUGCCAUCUCUAGAGAUAGAGCUUUCCCUUCGGGGACAUAAGUGACAGGUGGUGCAUGGUUGUCGUCAGCUCGUGUCGUGAGAUGUUGGGUUAAGUCCCGCAACGAGCGCAACCCUUGAUCUUAGUUGCCAGCAUUCAGUUGGGCACUCUAAGGUGACUGCCGGUGACAAACCGGAGGAAGGUGGGGAUGACGUCAAAUCAUCAUGCCCCUUAUGACCUGGGCUACACACGUGCUACAAUGGAUGGUACAAAGGGCAGCGAAACCGCGAGGUUAAGCCAAUCCCAUAAAACCAUUCUCAGUUCGGAUUGCAGGCUGCAACUCGCCUGCAUGAAGCCGGAAUCACU